CGAGAGGGUGAUCGCGUGCAGCGACGGUUAUUGUGCUGAGCGUGCGGACAGUUUUAUUUAUUGACCUGGAAUGGAGGGCAGGGGAGAUACUACCGAGUGACAGGAGCUUGGGACAGCUACAUUUAACUGAAUCAGAGCUUGGGUAUGAUUUGGUAAAAUUCUUAUUUGGGCCAGAACAUUCAGAACAAUUAUGCCUCUUUUCUCCAUUAAGAAAGAUUUCUUUUGUAUGUAGAUUGUGACUAAUAACAGAGAGGAAAAUGAGUCGAUUUAUGAUGGAACUACCACUAAUUGGGAUUCUUUCAUCCAGUGGACAUCAAAUGUGCCUUCUGCGCUGCUGGUUCAGGGUUGGUCAUACCAGCAGAAGAAAUGUAAAAAGUAUUUUUGUAAGGAGGUACAGCUUUCUUCCAGGUGAUAUUAAGUCAUUGCGCACCAUUAUCAGUCCGGAUAUCUCGAAGUAAGUCACUCAAUCAGCAACGGAUAUGUUAGCUAAUGUAAUGGCAAAUUGCUGUCGAAGCUGGAAACCUGAAACAAGCAAUGAGGGA